UUUCUAGUUUGGCAAUGGCUAAUAACCUUGGGUAAUCCAGAGUUAAAUUUGUUACUCCAGAAGGACAGAGUGCUGCUAUUGGCUAAAUGCUGGCACCAGGUUUUGCCCUGCAUAGUAUAUAAAUGUGACUUCUGAAGUGCAAAUUGAUUCCCUGCUAGAAUGUGAAGUGGCUGCUGCUACACUUUAAGAUGGAAGCUUUGGGAAUAACAACCAUUUUCCUGAUGGUUUGUCUGUCUUGCUUUCUCUUCUUUUCAGCACAGAGAAAAAUAUCUGGAAAUGGGAAGCUGCCACCUGGACCCAUUGUUUUCCGUAUCAUAGGGAACAUGUUACAGCUGAACACUAAGAACUUACCCCAGUUUCUGUACAAGGGGUUAUUUUCAGCAAUGGGGAGCCAUGGAAGCAGCUCCGGUGAUUUGUCCUGACCACGCUGAGGAAUUUUGGGAUGGGGAAGAAAAGCAUUGAGAAGAAGAUCCAGAAGGAAGCUCAUUUUUUAGUGGAAAGUCUCAGGAACACACAUGGUGAGGACCACUUUCAUACGGAGCUAACAACGAUCUGUUUCGGGGUGGAUUAUUUUAGUAGUGACUCUUGGUCCCAGCUGAACCUGGGGUUCCAUUGUAUCAGUGCCACUAUCUGUUAGUCUAGAGAGAGAGAUGGAGGGAAGAGCUGAUAGGUUUUUCAGAUACAAAGAGUAGUCAUUAUAAAGAAGAUGGCAGUCUAUCUCCUGUGAACACCAAGAACAACUGGACAAGGAGUAAUAGGCUCAUAUUGCAGCAAGGGAGAAGGUGGUUAGAUAUUAGAUGUGGUUAAGCACUGGAACAGAUCACUUACAGAAGCUGUGGAAUGCCUGUAACUAAAAGUUUGUAAGAGCAAUUUAUACAAAUGUUUGGAUGAGAUAGUUUAGAUGGGGAUGAUUAUGCUGCUUGCAACUCGAUAACCUGAAAUCUCUCCCAGCCCUACUUUUCUAUGAUUCUACAGCCACCCAAAGCAGUGACUCUGGCAGAACGUCUGAGAAGGAUCCUCUUUUAAAUGGGAUCCUUUUGGCCAGUGCUGGUAAAUAAGCCCUACAUCAACAGGCAUCUGUUACUCUCUGAAGAACCGAUUGACCCUAAUCAGAUCAAAAAAUGUCAGGCAGAAUCCAGCAGAGGCACUAAAGUAAAAAAUGAUUCUAAGCAAAGCAUGGGUAAGUGUUUUUAAAAGGUGAGUGAUGAGAUUAGGGGAGCUCAAUGUCCCUGAAGAAUGUUAGAACUAGUCUUAGCCUGGGGUCAGAGAUCCAGAACCCUCACUAGCACCAGUGAACGUGAUGCUGAGGGCAAACUCGUCAAGUUAAAGCUGAACUCUUUGUGCUUGUUUUGUUCCAGAGUGGCCCUUUGACCCCACCUUUUUCCUCACCCAUGCUGUCUCCAACAUCAUCUGCUCUACUGUCUUUGGGAACUGGUUUGACUAUGAAGAUAAGAAGUUUCUAACUUUAAUCAGACUGAUAGAGGAAAAUGAAAAUCUCUUCCGCUCUCCAGUGGGAAAGUAUAUCACCCGGGUCAACUGUGCUAGUGCCACCUUCCUCAAGCUGCGGCAAUGUGUCUUCAAAAAUAAGGCCCUUCAGAAGUAGACAAAGGUCCUGGUUUACACGACUGUCAUGCUGACUACCCUCCUCUACUGCAGUGAAAUCUGGACCAUCUACCAAUGCCACAUUAAGACCCUCAAGAGCUUUCACCAGUGGUGCUUGCGUUGUAUCCUGGGGACCAAAUGGGAGGACCGCCAGAUCAGCAUGAGCAUCCUCCAUGAAGUUGCGUCCACCAACAUCAAAGCCUUGCUUUUGAGAAAUCAACUCCAAUGGAUAGGCCACUGCAUCCAGAUAUCCAAGAACCACCUUCCUCACCAGAUUCUCUUCUUCCAGCUCUCUGUUGGCCAACGCUCAAAGGGUGGCCAAAGGAAACAGUACAAAGACAUGCUCAAGGUCGCCCUCAAGCACGGAGGCAUUGACAUCAACAUCUGGGAGGAGCAAGCUGCUGACCAUUCAGCAUGGCACCACCUGGUCCACCAAGGCAUGCGCCAUUUCAAGACCCAAUGACUUGAUACCGAGGCAGAAUAGCGACGGUGGAGGAAGGAGGGGACCAACCCAGGGCUGUGAAUCCCACUCCCUCUUGCAACAACAUGCCCCCAUUGCCAAAGAAUGUGUGCAUCCAGAAUUGGGCUCCUCAGUCACCUGAGGACCCAUCAAGCCUGUCGGACAUCAUCCUUGAACCUCGAAGGAUCACCACCAGUGACCCUUACAAAUAAAUCACAAAGAAGGUUGUAAGGAGAAGGACUCAUCAUCUUUUUUAAUUAACAAUUUGUCAGAGACUUAAGCGAUGUGGAGUAGGAUCACAUUUACAUGGACUUAAACCCACUUUUCUCCAGCAUGGAGAAGGAUGUUUGGAAAUGGGAAGCUGCCACCUGAAGUCAUUGCUCUCCCCAUCACAGGGAAUACUCUGCAGCUGAGCACUAAGAACUUGCCUCAGUCUCUAUGGGUGCGCCUAUCUGAGCAUGGUUUACUGUAAAGUAAGCAUGUGUGUGUAUAAGUGUAUAGCAAAACCCCCCGUUGUUCUUUUUUUUUAUUUAGAAAUAUGACAUCCCCUUUUCCCCCAUCCUGUCUGCCUUUUUAUUUCCCCUCCUCUAUUCCCUAUGGGUAUAUAUAUAUAAGUGGUUAUAAGUUAAGUUGAAAACCCUGUGUAUAUAAGUCCCCUUUUAUAGUAACCAUGAGCUAUUGCAAUAGUGCUUUGCUGUGUGUGUUGGAUUACUGUAAUGUAUUACACCAUAUGGUUAUUGUGUCUUAAGUGUCUCUAUGUUAACAUUGUAUGAUUUAGGCCUGCAGUGUGGGUUGGCAUGAGUGAUGUCAAGUAUCCAUUUUGUGCGUCAGGUUCCCAUCUUGUUCCCAUCUUGUCCCCAUGCCUUGUUGUGUAAGUAUGUUGUAAUUAUGAAGUCUGUAACCUCUCUCAUGUAAACUGGUUUUCCUUGAAUGCCUGAAACAAAAGGGUGAAUGCAUGAGUGAAAGACGAUGAUAGGCAGGACCCCCUAUUAAAUCACCCCACCAUCAAAACCAAUACCUGGACCAAGGACCCAGCCAUUGGAACCAGCCUCAGCAUUCAGGAAACAAAAGACAAGGCAACCCACCAUUGUGCCAAGCUGCACCUGCUCAGUAUGAACAUCUGGAACCCUCUGGAACAGGGCUGACCUUGCCCGGACAUGCCUCCCCACAGGAGACCACAGGUAGUCUGACCCAUAAAAGGGGUAGUAAAGACUGACUCCUUGAGACAUCAUCUUCACCUGAACCAGACCUGCUCCACAUCAUGUUGCCUAUCAGCCCAGAGGCCCUGCUGGCAACCCCCUCUGGACAACACCUGCUGGAGAAAGACCCUGACUGGCCAUCGAGGACCCCCUCCCAGCCUGGAUAGGUAGCUGUCACCCCCACUCUCUCUUCAACCAAGGACUUGGGCUCUGUAUCUCUUCCUUACCUGGACUCCAACCCUUCCACUGAGUCUCUUUCUCCUGCUACCACUGUGUGAGUGUGUGGGAGUGCUUGUGUGAGUGUGUGUGGGAGCCAAGCUGUACAGUACAGUGUUCAUUUAAUAAAACUCUUAUUUGGACCCUGA